CCAAAAAGGAUGUUGGCAUCGGUGACGAGUCCGUCCCAGCGGGUGACGGUUUGGUAUGUCUCUGGCGUUUUAUUAGGCGACUCUGUGGGAGGCCGCCGCCGUCCUGGUUCGUGCGCCGCCGCCGCCGCCCACCACCGCCGACCUCCUCCCUCAGCAGCCCCACCCCUCGCAGCUGAGCUCCGCCCCUUCCCCCCUCCCUCCCACCACCAUAGGCCGUGGGGGUGCGGCUGGGGCGCGCCGUCGUCUCAGCACCGACGAACCCUAGGUCCCAAGUCUCUGGAUCUCUUGGUCUAGUUUGUUUUCUGGUUCGAGGUUCCAAUGGAGAGGGUGUCGGGGUUGAUGGAGAAGCUACGGUUGUCAGAGGCAGAGAAGAAAGGGGUGCGAAUCGGGUGGUCGGAGGGAUUGAAGAGAGGUGAGAGGGACACACAGGCCCUGGUGAAGGUACUGUCGGAGAAGCCGGCGGUGGGGGAAGCGCUGGAGAACUCGAUUGGUCGAGUAUGGUGUCCGAUGCGUGGAGUGGAGUGUAAGAUGAUGGGGGAGAAUGUUUUUCUGGUCACUUUUCUGCAGCAUUCUGGGAAGAGGAAGGCGAUGGAGGAAGGUCCGUGGAUGUUCAAAGGGGAUGCUCUGGUGCUGGAAGAAUUUGACCCAAGGAAGACUUUGGAGGAAUAUGAAUUUGCAUCCUUGCCGGUCUGGAUCAGGGUGUCAAAGCUGCCGCUGGGAAUGCUCAAUGCACAAGCUGGGGAGCUCAUUGGAGAUGAAGUGGGUGAGUUUAUGGAGGCUGAAGUUGUGGUGGAUGCGGUGACGAGGUGCCGCAUUCUGAGAAUUAAGGUGCGUAUCAAUAUCAAGGAGCCGCUGUGGCGUGGGAUAACCAUACAUGAUGAGGAAGAAAAGAGAAAGGAAAAGGGAGGGGCGCAGGAGAGUGGGCAAGAGCAAAAGGAAAAUGAGGAUGAAGGAAGAUGGUGUCCUUUUGCUUAUGAGUUCAUACCUGACUUUUGUUACACCUAUGGAGUGAUAGGACAUACGGACAAAACGUGCUCCAUCAGGCUAGGUCGAAGGGAGGUGCAGCAAUGGGGCCCAUGGCUAAGUUGGAAACCACCCAGGAGAGUUGAUUGGGGAUCUGAUAGUAGCUCGGGAAGCAAAUGGAGAGGUGGAAGAGAGAAACACUUUGAAAACUUUGGGAGUAAGAAUAGCAGAUCUUCAGGCAGCAAUGGUCUCAAUUGGAGGAAGGAUGACCGGAGUUUAAAGGAGCAAAAGAACAAAAGGGGGGAGGACGGAGAGGUUACCAGCCCACUAAAAAUCACCAGGGGGAAGGAGGGGACGGAAAAUGAAACAGGUGAUCGCAGGAGACAGUUGGAGUUUAAUGUUGAAAUAGGUGUCGAGCUUCAGUCAAAAAAGGCAGACGGUGGAGGAGUAGACCAGGUGCAAGAAGAGCAGCAGCAGGCUAAUGGGCGGUCUGUAGGGGACGGGGUAAAAGAAGCAAUAGAUGGACACAUUAAGGAGGGAUCCACAUCCCUGCAAAUGAACGCCCCCAUGCACAUCGAUCAGGAAAAUGAGGGCGAGGAGUCGCAGGUCCAAGAGAGAACCACGCGGCAUGGGGGCAGGAAGUGGGUUAGGCAACCGAGGAUAACUGGUGGGGUGGAGCAAAAAACUGAGUCUGUGGCUGAUACUGAAAGCAAGCUUAAGGAGAAAAAGCGUGAAGGGGCAACUCUUGAUAUGGAAGAGGGAGGUGACAUGAAGAAACAGAGGAUGGAUGGGGUGGUGGGGAGUGAAGCCGAAAACCCAAUACAGGUGGACGCGGGGCUGCACGGACAGCUCCGCGAGUACAAAUGAGGCUCGUGGCUUGGAACUGCCGGGGGCUCGGGAACAGGCCGGCAGUUCAUGGUCUUCUGGAGCUCUAGAAGAAGGAGGAUCCCGAUGUGUUAUUUCUUUUAGAAACAAAGUUGAAGAAAAGUAAAGUGGAGAAGCUGCGUUACAUUUUGGGUAUGCCAAAUCUCGUCUACAAGGUGUGCGAUGGCAAGAGUGGUGGCUUGGCUAUGCUAUGGAAGAGAGACAUAAAUCUCAGCCUAAGGUGGAUGGGAAGGAUGCACAUUGAUGUAACAAUUGAGGAGAAUGAUGGGUAUAAGUGGAGAUUCACCGGUAUUUAUGGGGAGCCCAAGAUGGAGAAGAAGGAAGAGACAUGGCGUCUUCUGCGCAACCUGCAUCACCAGGAGAAUCUCCCGUGGGUUUGCAUAGGGGACUUCAACGAGAUCCUCUACAACUUUGAGAAGCAGGGGGGUGUGCCCAGAGCACAAAUAUAUAUGGACCGCUUUCGUGAUGCUUUGAAUUUUUGCAACCUGAAUGACCUUGGUUUCGAGGGGGACAUCUUUACUUGGCGCAAUAAUAAUUACCGGCUGGAGGGUUAUAUUCGUGAGCGUCUUGAUAGGGCGGUGGCAAAUCCACAGUGGUGUGCAUGCUUCCCAGGUUACAAGGUGACUAAUGGAUGUCCCGAACAUUCUGAUCAUAGGCCGGUCAUCAUGGAUGUUCAUGGUGCGAGGAGGAAGGUCAUGCCUAAACCGAAUAAUCUUAAUAAGCGCUUCGAAGCCCGCUGGUUACUUGAAGAAGACUGCGAAAAGGUGGUUGUUGAGGCAUGGGACGAAGCUGCAACAAGGGGUAAUGGGAAGGUGAUGGAACGCAUCAAAGAAGUCUCACAGACUCUUGACAAAUGGAGUAGAGAAGUUUUGGGUGAUCUCCAAAAAAGAAUAAAGAAGUUGCGGCAGGAGUUGGAGGAGUGCCGAAGGAAGGCGUUGUCGGAGGCAGAGGUGAAGCGUGAGCAAGUGGUGCGGUACAAACUUGGACGUUUGGAGGAGCAGCUUGAUAUCUUUUGGCAGCAGCGGGCACAUGUGAACUGGUUGACAAAGGGAGAUCAUAACACAGAUUACUUCCAUGGUGUAGUGUCGGAGAGGAAGAGGCGAAACAUGACUCAUAAAUUGAAGGGAGAGGAUGGUGUGGAGGUAGAAGGGGAGGAGGGCUUAAAGGCUCUCAUAACUAACCAUUUCUCUAGCUUGUUUACCCCCAUGGCAGGUUCUCAAAUGGAGCAAGUUCUAUACUGUGUUACGCCCCGUGUGACUCCACAAAUGAACACCUUCCUCCAAAAAGAGUACACGGCUCAAGAGAUAAAGGGUGCGCUGGAUGAUAUGGGAGACUUAAAAGCCCCUGGGGCUGAUGGUAUGCCGGCUGUUUUCUACAAGAGAUUUUGGGGGACGGUGGGUGAGGUUGUGGUACAAGAAGUUUUACGCGUAUUGCAAGGCGGCAGCAUACCGGAGGGAUGGAAUGAAACGAUUGUGGUACUCAUCCCAAAGGUUCGAAACCCGGAUCAUAUCAAAGAUUUUCGCCCUAUUAGCCUUUGCAAUGUGGUGUAUAAGCUUGUUUCCAAAGUUCUCGCCAACCGACUCAAGGUGAUCUUGGAUGAACUCAUAUCAGCUAACCAAAGUGCAUUUGUCCCGGGACGGCUAAUAUCGGACAACACCAUCCUUGCUUAUGAGAUGACGCAUUUUAUGAGGAGAAAGAGAAGUGGAAAGGAUGCUUAUAUGGCCCUCAAACUAGAUAUGAGCAAGGCUUAUGAUAGAGUGGAGUGGCCUUUUUUGGAGGGCAUGAUGAAACGUUUGGGUUUUGUGGAUGAGUUCACCCAACUGAUUAUGAAGUGUGUGACUACAGUGACCUACAGGUUUCGAGUUAACGGAGAUAUCACUGAUGCUAUCGUCCCUGGUAAGGGCCUGCGACAAGGCGACCCCAUCUCACCCUAUUUGUUUCUAAUCUGCGCGGAAGGUUUCUCUGCUUUGGUGCACCAAGCUGAAAGAGAGGGUAAAAUCAAGGGUAUCCAGAUUGCUCCUAUGGCCCCAACGGUGAGCCAUCUACUUUUCGCUGAUGACUCACUAUUGGUGAUGCAAGCAAGUGUACAGGGGGUCCAAACGGUGAAAUCUAUCUUGCAAGUAUAUGAAGAGAGCUCGGGUCAAGUCAUCAACAGGGAGAAAUCUUCAGUGAUGUUCAGCUCAAAUGCAAGGCAGAGUUUCAAAAACUUGAUACUCCAGGAACUUCAACUUGGGACUGAGGCGAACGGUGGGAAAUACUUGGGGCUGCCCAUCUACAUUGGAAAAUCUGUUAAGAAGUGCUUCCUCUACAUAAAAGACAGAAUUGUAGGCCGUUUGCAGGGAGGCUUGGAAAGGGUUUUGUCUACUGCCGGUAAAGAGAUUUAUGUCAAAGCCAUCGCACAAGCAAUUCCAACCUAUGCUAUGGCUUGUUUUGAUCUUACGAGGUCCUUAUGUGAUGAAAUAAGCCAGUUCAUAUGCCGUUACUGGUGGAAUCAGCAAGAGGAUGAAAGGAAGAUGCAUUGGAUAGGCUGGGAGAAGAUGAAACUCUCGAAGGAGGAGGGGGGUUUGGGCUUCCGAGAUCUGCACUCCUUUAACUUGGCCAUGUUGGCGCGACAAGGAUGGCGUCUUAUUCAAGCCCCGGACUCUCUGUGUGCGCAGGUGCUCCGAGCGAAGUAUUAUCCCAAUGGAGAUAUCCUAGCUGCUGUGCCUGUGAAAGGAAUGAGCUAUGUAUGGAGGAGUAUCUUAAGGGGCAUUGAGGUGCUGAAGGAAGGCCUAAUUUGGCGCAUCGGGGAUGGAACCAAUGUGAGGAUCUGGGAAGAUCCAUGGAUCCCGAUGGGUGUUACGCGCAGACCAGCAUCAUACCAAGGCCCAAAUCUCCUCACCAAAGUUUCCGAGCUGAUCGAUCCGAACACAGGCUGUUGGGACCGUAAUCUUGUGUCAGACUGUUUCCACCCGGACGAUGUCCCCAUAAUUUUGAGUAUCCCAAUCGGCGAGCAUGGGGAAGAUUUUAUGGCAUGGCAUUUUGACAGCAAGGGCAUCUUCUCUGUGAAAUCAGCCUACAAAAUCCAUGUUCAGAUGAUGAAGGAUGAAGCAAGGCGGCAGAAGGGGCAAAGUUCUUCUGAUGUACAACCAACCUCUGAAGUUUUUCGAGCCAUUUGGAAGGUUAAAUGCCCACCAAGAGUCCACCAUUUCCUUUGGAGAUUAGCACAUAACAGUCACCCAAUGUAUAUGAACAUUAGCAGACGAGGGGUGGAGCUUGACACACGAUGUGUAGUGUGUGGGAAGCUUUUUGAGGACGGCGGCCACCUUUUUCUCAACUGUAAAUUCAUCAAGCAACGAUGGCGAGCUCUGCUACUUGAGGAUAUCAGACUCAAACUACUCCAAUGUACAUCUGCUAAAGAAACUCUGUCAGUUAUCCUCAGACUGCCUGAAGAGAGGAAGCUGCUAUCCAUUGCUUUGCUUUGGUGUUGGUGGGCUGAGCGGAACAGAGGCAAUCAUGGGGAGAAACGGCUCGAGGUUGAAGCUUUUCGAUACACUGUUAGUCAUCAUGCAAAUGAAUGGGAAGAGUUCUUGUGCGCAAAGCCGACUGCACCGGUUCGACAACAGGAUAAGUGGGUGAAGCCCCCUACUGAUAUGGUGAAAAUUAACAUUGAUGCCGCGUUUGCAGAACAAACAAGGUCUGGAGGCUGGGGCAUAAUAUGCAGAGAUGACACCCAGGACGUUUGUUUUGCUGCAGCUGGAGCCCGUCUUGAUCUGAACAGCGCACUACAUGCUGAAACAAUUGCCCUUCUCGAAGCUGUGACGCUGGCGGACAGGCUCGGUGUUGGGCGCGUGAUUUUUGAAACCGACUGCCUGGUCCUUCAGCAGGCCAUAAACUCAAAUGCCUAUGCUUUCUCGCCCCUGGGUGUGUUGUUUAGUGAGAUCAGGUUUAAACUUAGGACCCUUUUCAUUGAGGCCCAGGUGGUGUUUGUGCCCAGACUUUGUAAUGGUCCAACACAUGUGUUGGCUUCUAUAGGUGCAUGUUUAACUGUUGGUGAGCACCGUGAGUGGUUCACCAGCUACCCGGAUGAUGUACUCAGUGUUGUGACCGGCGAUCGAGCCAUGUCUUAAUGGAAUACCAGUGUUCCAUUUCAAAAAAAAAAGGAUGUUGGCUAGGUCUCCUCGCCGGCGAAGUUCAAUCUCGUCGCCGGCGUCCACGGAAUGGAUCGACGAUGAACCUCCGCUCCUCUUCUUGGUUUUAGUUCAUCUGAUUGUGCAUCCUCAGUGAAGGCUUUAAACCCUAGCCGAUGUUGUCUGGAUGGAGGCAGACUGGAGUUGUAGCGCGGACUGCUCGGCGCAGUGGUUCCGUCAGGCGGAGUAGGAUAUAGGAAUAAUGGAUUUACUUUUGGCAUGCCCGACAUCGAACUCUUCAUCAUGAGGCCUUUUUAAUUGUUGUUGCUGCCGAACUUUUACCACUGUGUGAAGUUGGUCGGCAAGACUGCGUUGGAUGUCGAGUUGUACAUCAUGUGAAUUGGUUUGGUGUGUCUUCUCAGGAGUUGAGUUGCACGCCGCGUCGUCAUUCCAGUUUACUUUGGGUGCGUUUGGUUGCAAGGGCGGUCAUGAAUGGGUUGGGAUCGUUCAGAAAAUAGACAUGUUUGGUUAUAAAGCACAUGAAUGGUUCGAGCCAAAAAAAGAGAAUAUGCCAUGAAGAUGCUGAACCGUUCCACCCAACCAAAUCGGUCGAAUCAAAUGACCACCCUUUGCAUGCAUGACUAUGUGAGCAUGACUGGUGGUCCCGUCCUAAAUAAUUAGCUCACCACUUAUAUUCAGCCAAACACAUGAAUUGAAUGGUUCAAUUUCAAAAAAAUUAAACGGUCCCAACCCAUUCAUACGACACCUUCAACCAAACGCAUCCUUUGGCUCCUACAGAGUUCAAUAAUCUCCUUGGCGUGAUGUGCGUUGGGUCGCGUGAUAUGCUUUGGCCGGCUUGGAAGGGCUUGUAUAUAUUGGUUGGUCUGGCUAACGUGUUGUAGCAGACACCGUAGGCUGUUGCAUCCAACACCGUGUUGAGUUUCCUUGUCCUAUUUGCAUGUAUCUAUAUGUGUCCUUGUCUAUUCUGGUUCGGCCUUCAUGUCGUGACGUUUUGUCUCUUUGUUUAUUAGGACAUGUUGGACCGUGUAUGGUUUAUGGUUUAUUAUUUUUAUUAUAUGGACAUAUAGAUCCUUUCCUUCUAACAGAUGCAAGACGUGAGGACGUGUUAGAUCGGUCUAUGGGUGUUUGAUGAAACUUUGUUUUGCAAUCGUUCAUUAUACGUGUGUCCUAUUAGACGUGUCUAUGCGGACCUAUAUUGUUGUACGUAACUCUUAAAAUCUUUUAAUCUCGAUCGUUGUAAUUUAGAUCAAUGGGUAAUUUUUUUUAGCCUAUGUGAAUUAAUGUGAUGGCUUGUUUGUCUUCUGUCUUAAUUAUAUAAUAGAAGAUACUGAAAUCAGCAAUGAUGAUGGAGAAGCAUCACAGGGCCGAUCAAGACACAACCAACUCCCGUUGCGUCAACCAUAGACGGAAAGGUAACCAUGUCCACUCAAUCUCAUCGCUAGAUUCAACGGUGCAAGCGUCGAAGAAGCUGAAGGAGACCUUAUUCUGCAUCACCGCCACCAUUUCUAGAAAGGCCGAAGCGACGAACAAUUAAGACCUACCUGUUUAGCUGAUCUUGCCACGAGAUCUAGCGUCUCCGCCCGAUGGAACCGUAGAAGAAUCUGGAGGGUCCAUUAUUAAGCCCCGCCGGCAUGGCCAUCGGAGGGGACUCACAUCUAGCACUUCUUUGGCCCCUGGUGGCCUCCUGAUGAUUUCCACUGGCAAUGUAUUUUCUUUCAUUUUUCUGGUCCC
rnacentral:rRNA from 1 species